AGUACUUCGUUUUUCGUUAACUUUCACCAUCGUGCUAUGCCUAAAAUUGCACGUGUCUUGAGAUUGAGGCUAUUCGUGAGAUAACAGACAUAAACAGUGCUAGGCUGAGUGAAAAUUCAAAAUCCUUCUUCCGAGUUGAGUAACAAAGGUCCGGGAGACAACCCAGGAUAUCAAGAGGAAGAGCACCACGUGAGAUAACCAGACCGAAAAAAUGCCAAAAACACAUAUGAACUGCAUGGAAAUAAAUUUUACCUGAUUUCUCGUCGGCCGAUUUCAUUUCCACAAAUUCUGGGCCAAAAUAUGAAAUGAAAAGAAAAUAUUUUAAAACUAAGAAUAUAUAUAUUAUGGCCAUGAAUUCUAGUUUUGUCGUCUUACACUUACAUAGAACUACCAUAAGUUGGUGUUCAUUCCUUGAAUUCUUGUUGGUAUGGUAAUUGAUUUGUUAGAGAUAUAUACU